UACGAACCGUCCAAACGUUAUUCGGAAUCACUGGGCUUAAAGGGUGCGUAGGCUGCGCUGUAAGUUGGGUGUGAAAGCCCUCGGCUUAACCGAGGAAUUGCGCUCAAUACUGCUGUGCUUGAGGGAGAUAGAGGUGAGCGGAACUUAGGGUGGAGCGGUGAAAUGCGUUGAUAUCCUAAGGAACACCUGGGGCGAAAGCGGCUCACUGGAUCUUUUCUGACGCUGAUGCACGAAAGCUAGGGUAGCGAACGGG
rnacentral:rRNA from 1 species